rnacentral:rRNA from 1 species
UUAAGCGACUAAGCGUACACGGUGGAUGCCCUGGCAGUCAGAGGCGAUGAAGGACGUGCUAAUCUGCGAUAAGCGUCGGUAAGGUGAUAUGAACCGUUAUAACCGGCGAUUUCCGAAUGGGGAAACCCAGUGUGUUUCGACACACUAUCAUUAACUGAAUCCAUAGGUUAAUGAGGCGAACCGGGGGAACUGAAACAUCUAAGUACCCCGAGGAAAAGAAAUCAACCGAGAUUCCCCCAGUAGCGGCGAGCGAACGGGGAGCAGCCCAGAGCCUGAAUCAGUGUGUGUGUUAGUGGAAGCGUCUGGAAAGGCGCGCGAUACAGGGUGACAGCCCCGUACACAAAAAUGCACAUGCUGUGAGCUCGAUGAGUAGGGCGGGACACGUGGUAUCCUGUCUGAAUAUGGGGGGACCAUCCUCCAAGGCUAAAUACUCCUGACUGACCGAUAGUGAACCAGUACCGUGAGGGAAAGGCGAAAAGAACCCCGGCGAGGGGAGUGAAAAAGAACCUGAAACCGUGUACGUACAAGCAGUGGGAGCCUCUUUAUGGGGUGACUGCGUACCUUUUGUAUAAUGGGUCAGCGACUUAUAUUCUGUAGCAAGGUUAACCGAAUAGGGGAGCCGAAGGGAAACCGAGUCUUAACUGGGCGUUAAGUUGCAGGGUAUAGACCCGAAACCCGGUGAUCUAGCCAUGGGCAGGUUGAAGGUUGGGUAACACUAACUGGAGGACCGAACCGACUAAUGUUGAAAAAUUAGCGGAUGACUUGUGGCUGGGGGUGAAAGGCCAAUCAAACCGGGAGAUAGCUGGUUCUCCCCGAAAGCUAUUUAGGUAGCGCCUCGUGAAUUCAUCUCCGGGGGUAGAGCACUGUUUCGGCAAGGGGGUCAUCCCGACUUACCAACCCGAUGCAAACUGCGAAUACCGGAGAAUGUUAUCACGGGAGACACACGGCGGGUGCUAACGUCCGUCGUGAAGAGGGAAACAACCCAGACCGCCAGCUAAGGUCCCAAAGUCAUGGUUAAGUGGGAAACGAUGUGGGAAGGCCCAGACAGCCAGGAUGUUGGCUUAGAAGCAGCCAUCAUUUAAAGAAAGCGUAAUAGCUCACUGGUCGAGUCGGCCUGCGCGGAAGAUGUAACGGGGCUAAACCAUGCACCGAAGCUGCGGCAGCGACGCUUAUGCGUUGUUGGGUAGGGGAGCGUUCUGUAAGCCUGUGAAGGUGUGCUGUGAGGCAUGCUGGAGGUAUCAGAAGUGCGAAUGCUGACAUAAGUAACGAUAAAGCGGGUGAAAAGCCCGCUCGCCGGAAGACCAAGGGUUCCUGUCCAACGUUAAUCGGGGCAGGGUGAGUCGACCCCUAAGGCGAGGCCGAAAGGCGUAGUCGAUGGGAAACAGGUUAAUAUUCCUGUACUUGGUGUUACUGCGAAGGGGGGACGGAGAAGGCUAUGUUGGCCGGGCGACGGUUGUCCCGGUUUAAGCGUGUAGGCUGGUUUUCCAGGCAAAUCCGGAAAAUCAAGGCUGAGGCGUGAUGACGAGGCACUACGGUGCUGAAGCAACAAAUGCCCUGCUUCCAGGAAAAGCCUCUAAGCAUCAGGUAACAUCAAAUCGUACCCCAAACCGACACAGGUGGUCAGGUAGAGAAUACCAAGGCGCUUGAGAGAACUCGGGUGAAGGAACUAGGCAAAAUGGUGCCGUAACUUCGGGAGAAGGCACGCUGAUAUGUAGGUGAAGCGACUUGCUCGUGGAGCUGAAAUCAGUCGAAGAUACCAGCUGGCUGCAACUGUUUAUUAAAAACACAGCACUGUGCAAACACGAAAGUGGACGUAUACGGUGUGACGCCUGCCCGGUGCCGGAAGGUUAAUUGAUGGGGUUAGCGCAAGCGAAGCUCUUGAUCGAAGCCCCGGUAAACGGCGGCCGUAACUAUAACGGUCCUAAGGUAGCGAAAUUCCUUGUCGGGUAAGUUCCGACCUGCACGAAUGGCGUAAUGAUGGCCAGGCUGUCUCCACCCGAGACUCAGUGAAAUUGAACUCGCUGUGAAGAUGCAGUGUACCCGCGGCAAGACGGAAAGACCCCGUGAACCUUUACUAUAGCUUGACACUGAACAUUGAGCCUUGAUGUGUAGGAUAGGUGGGAGGCUUUGAAGUGUGGACGCCAGUCUGCAUGGAGCCGACCUUGAAAUACCACCCUUUAAUGUUUGAUGUUCUAACGUUGACCCGUAAUCCGGGUUGCGGACAGUGUCUGGUGGGUAGUUUGACUGGGGCGGUCUCCUCCUAAAGAGUAACGGAGGAGCACGAAGGUUGGCUAAUCCUGGUCGGACAUCAGGAGGUUAGUGCAAUGGCAUAAGCCAGCUUGACUGCGAGCGUGACGGCGCGAGCAGGUGCGAAAGCAGGUCAUAGUGAUCCGGUGGUUCUGAAUGGAAGGGCCAUCGCUCAACGGAUAAAAGGUACUCCGGGGAUAACAGGCUGAUACCGCCCAAGAGUUCAUAUCGACGGCGGUGUUUGGCACCUCGAUGUCGGCUCAUCACAUCCUGGGGCUGAAGUAGGUCCCAAGGGUAUGGCUGUUCGCCAUUUAAAGUGGUACGCGAGCUGGGUUUAGAACGUCGUGAGACAGUUCGGUCCCUAUCUGCCGUGGGCGCUGGAGAACUGAGGGGGGCUGCUCCUAGUACGAGAGGACCGGAGUGGACGCAUCACUGGUGUUCGGGUUGUCAUGCCAAUGGCACUGCCCGGUAGCUAAAUGCGGAAGAGAUAAGUGCUGAAAGCAUCUAAGCACGAAACUUGCCCCGAGAUGAGUUCUCCCUGACUCCUUGAGAGUCCUGAAGGAACGUUGAAGACGACGACGUUGAUAGGCCGGGUGUGUAAGCGCAGCGAUGCGUUGAGCUAACCGGUACUAAUGAACCGUGAGGCUUAACCUU